rnacentral:rRNA from 1 species
UCGGGAAUUUUGGGCAAUGGGCGAAAGCCUGACCCAGCAACGCCGCGUGAAGGAUGAAGUCUCUCGGGAUGUAAACUUCGUAAGAAUAGGAAGAAUAAAUGACGGUACUAUUUGUAAGGUCCGGCUAACUACGUGCCAGCAGCCGCGGUAAUACGUAGGGACCAAGCGUUGUUCGGAUUUACUGGGCGUAAAGGGCGCGUAGGCGGCAAUUCAAGUCAGUUGUGAAAUCUCCGAGCUUAACUCGGAACGGUCAACUGAUACUGCUUUGCUAGAGUACAGAAGGGGCAAUCGGAAUUCUUGGUGUAGCGGUGAAAUGCGUGGAUAUCAAGAGGAACACCUGAGGUGAAGACGGGUUGCUGGGCUGAUACUGACGCUGAGGCGCGAAAGCUAGGGUAGCAAACGGGAUUAGAUACCCCGGUAGUCCUAGCCCUAAACGAUGAAUACUUGGUGUCUGGAGUUUUUAUUCUCUGGGUGCCGUCGCUAACGUUUUAAGUAUUCCGCCUGGGGAGUACGCACGCAAGUGUGAAACUCAAAGGAAUUGACGG